GAUGAACGCUGGCGGCGUGCCUAAUACAUGCAGGUCGAGCGAACGGACGAGAAGCUUGCUUCUCUGAUGUUAGCGGCGGACGGGUGAGUAACACGUGGAUAACCUACCUAUAAGACGGGGAUAACUUCGGGAAACCGGAGCUAAUACCGGAGAAUAUUUUGAACCGCAUGGUUCAAAAGUGAAAGGCGGUCUUGCUGUCACUUAUAGAUGGAUCCGCGCUGCAUUAGCUAGUUGGUAAGGUAACGGCUUACCAAGGCAACGAUGCAUAGCCGACCUGAGAGGGUGAUCGGCCACACUGGAACUGAGACACGGUCCAGACUCCUACGGGAGGCAGCAGUAGGGAAUCUUCCGCAAUGGGCGAAAGCCUGACGGAGCAACGCCGCGUGAGUGAUGAAGGUCUUCGGAUCGUAAAACUCUGUUAUUAGGGAAGAACAUAUGUGUAAGUAACUGUGCACAUCUUGACGGUACCUAAUCAGAAAGCCACGGCUAACUACGUG
rnacentral:rRNA from 1 species